rnacentral:RNase_P_RNA from 1 species
AGACAAACGCUGGAAACUAUAAGUUUCUUGAGGAAAGUCCAUGCUCACACAAACUGUGAUGUUUGUAGUGUUCGUGCCUAGGGAAAAAAUAACCUAGGGUAGUUUUACUAACGGCGGUAUUUUUCCUAAGUCUUAGGAUAUGGAAAAAGCCAUAAAGUGCCGCAGUGACGAUGCUAUUCGAAAGGAUAGAGUGAAACGUGGUAAACCCCGCGAGUGAGAAACCCAAAAUUGGUAGGGGAGUCUUAACGAAGGAAUCGAACGGAGUUAAGGACCAAUCAUUGAUUGGUAGAUAAAUGUUUGUCGCCCGAAAGGGUACAGAACAUGGCUUAUU